rnacentral:rRNA from 1 species
GCAGUAGCCACGGUAAUACGAAGGGUGCAAGCGUUAAUCGGAAUUACUGGGCGUAAAGCGUGCGUAGGCGGUUUGUUAAGUCUGCUGUGAAAUCCCCGGGCUCAACCUGGGAAUGGCAGUGGAUACUGGCAAGCUAGAGUGUGUCAGAGGAUGGUGGAAUUCCCGGUGUAGCGGUGAAAUGCGUAGAGAUCGGGAGGAACAUCAGUGGCGAAGGCGGCCAUCUGGGACAACACUGACGCUGAGGCACGAAAGCGUGGGGAGCAAACAGGAUUAGAUACCCCUGUAGUCCCUGUCUCUUAUAC